rnacentral:rRNA from 1 species
AACGCGAAGAACCUUACCUACCCUUGACAUCCAAAGAAUUUUGCAGAGAUGCGAAAGUGCCGAAAGGAGCUUUGAGACAGGUGCUGCAUGGCUGUCGUCAGCUCGUGUUGUGAGAUGUUGGGUUAAGUCCCGUAACGAGCGCAACCCUUAUCCUUAGUUGCCAACGCGUAAAGGCGGGGACUCUAAGGAGACUGCCGGUGAUGAACCGGAGGAAGGCGGGGACGACGUCAAGUCAUCAUGGCCUUUAUGGGUAGGGCUACACACGUGCUACAAUGGUCGGUACAGAGGGUUGCCAACUCGCAAGAGGGAGCCAAUCCCAGAAAGCCGAUCGUAGUCCGGAUCGGAGUCUGCAACUCGACUCCGUGAAGUCGGAAUCGCUAGUAAUCGCGAAUCAGAAUGUCGCGGUGAAUACGUUCCCGGGCCUUGUACACACCGUGUCGA